GUGAUUUUGACACCAUUUAUGCUUUGUUUCCAUACAACAAACUCUUCUGUAAUCAAACUAAAAACCAAACCAUUCUCAAACAGCAGUUACAUAAUCACCACUGACAUCAACUUCAGAAUCUAUAUCGGCAUCCAGAUCAUCGAGCCCCGAUCCUCCAGCCAACGCUUGGUCCCCGACUUUAGAUGCUUCUCCUGGUGUCAUUGCUUCCUGAACAAUCUGCAUGAUUUCCUCCACGCUUUGCAAUGGUUGGUUGUGUUCUUGUUGUUUGAAGUCAGUUUUCUCAAUCUCAAUGAGCUCCUUUGGCAAGUUCUUGAAAAACCAUGGCAGCUGUUUUAUCUCUUGGAUGGUGAUCCUCUUUGCGGGGUUGGCAACGAAUAUGCGAGAAAGAAGGUUGCGACACUCUAUGGACACACGUACAUAAUCGGGUAUUGAGUAUUGAACACUCAAUAUUCUUGCUAUCGUCUUACGGAAAUUUCUCGGAUCUUCGGGAUCCUCGAACGGGUAUGCUCCAACCAACAUUACAUACAAUGUCACUCCACAUGACCAAACAUCUGAAAUCUUG
rnacentral:misc_RNA from 1 species